AUGCAAGGACUGCCAUGCCUGGAUUUACACUUGGAUUGCCUGCAGCGGAUUAAACGCUGGUCGCUUCUACAAAAAGGGCUCUGUGGAUACAUGAGGUCGACCGAGGAGUACCGUGCUCAGCUGAGUGACCAGAUUGUUGCAGAUCCUGUAGCCGCCCCUCAUCAGCCCGCAGCUUACAUGCACCGGAGAGCUAGAUCAGGCGAACCAAUGGAGGAGUGGAGGCGCGGAUGCGAGCUUGCACGGAAUGGCCGAGUGGAGCAGCAGGCAUGGAGCGGGCACGCUCGGGUUAACACAGGAGGCGCAGCAGUGGCCACAUCACGAUCGGAGUGUUUAAGUUAG
rnacentral:rRNA from 1 species